GACGAACGCUGGCGGCGUGCUUAACACAUGCAAGUCGAACGGAAAGGCCCUGCUUUUGUGGGGUGCUCGAGUGGCGAACGGGUGAGUAACACGUGAGUAACCUGCCCUUGACUUUGGGAUAACUUCAGGAAACUGGGGCUAAUACCGGAUAGGAGCUCCUGCUGCAUGGUGGGGGUUGGAAAGUUUCGGCGGUUGGGGAUGGACUCGCGGCUUAUCAGCUUGUUGGUGGGGUAGUGGCUUACCAAGGCUUUGACGGGUAGCCGGCCUGAGAGGGUGACCGGCCACAUUGGGACUGAGAUACGGCCCAGACUCCUACGGGAGGCAGCAGUGGGGAAUAUUGCACAAUGGGCGGAAGCCUGAUGCAGCAACGCCGCGCGCGGGAUGACGGCCUUCGGGUUGUAAACCGCUUUCGCCUGUGACGAAGCUUGAGUGACGGUAAUGGGUAAAGAAGCACCGGCUAACUACGUG
rnacentral:rRNA from 1 species